UAAGUGAAUUAGAUUAGGUACCAUAGCUGCCGUGAAAAUAGCCUCGUCAGCAGUGCCAUCUGGAUUCCGGGGGGCAAUAGACAAAAUGCUAUUGCCCCCCGGAUUCUGGGGGGUAAUAGGCGUCACCUAUUCAAAUUGUAGCACAUGAUUGCUGCCACUGAUUCUUCAAAAUGCCUAUCUUGUAUGGAAUGCUUGACAGCCAAAUGGAAUGAUUUAAACAAAUGCCAAAGGUGAGACAUGCUGGAAAAGCUUGAUAUGAAUGUGUAGACGUAGUUUUGGAAUUCAGAGGUGCAGCUGGCUGUUGGGAUUGCGCCAUCCAGGCAAUGUGGAUAUUCUGCCAUGCACAUGAUGAAUGAGAAUUCUUUGUCAACAUGCAAGAUGUUACUCCCUGUAAACUACUGUUGGCAGCAAAGCUGAUACAUGGGGAAAACAGUUAUGGCAAGUGCGAUGAAUAAAUCACCAUAGGUCAGUUCUCUUGCCUUCACACGUAGUUUUGUAACGAAGAUGAAUCAUGGAGUCAAAAACAUUAAAAAGUGAACAUGCUGGAAUUAAUGUCAUUCUGGAGAGGACUAAAAGAAACGAGCUUUAUCCAUGAAGCAGCUCAUUAAUCAUGUCCCUUCAAUGGCUAACAAGCAUUUCAUAGUUUUGAAAAUCGCGAAAAUCGCGGUUUGCACUCCCUAAAGCGACAUUCCUUAAUCCUUACCUGUCAAUAGAUUUGAGUGCAACCAUUUCUAUUCUGAACUGUCGCCUACGAAAUUCUUUUUCCAUAAAAUCAGGUGAUAUGAUGUUAUAAUGGAAAUUGUUGUCAAGACUACCGAGACCAGCUCAUGGAAGACCUCUGUGUCCAACACGAAGGGUUCUUCCAAACUUUCUUAUUCAAGUUUUGGCUAUGGUGAUCAUUUGCAACUGCAUAGCCUUUUAGAAGCUCCUGACAGGAAACUACAGGAAUAUGGCAGAUGAUGGAUUUAUGAACCAUAUUAAUAGCAAUAGUGAACCUGCUAAGGUUUCUGGUUGGGAUGUGAUGACGAAAAGUUAUAAUAAUUUGAAGUACGGAAUUGAAUUUCCCUCCAUCAGUCGCCUGUGUAUUCCCGCGUAUUACGGUAUUAAUUAUUUAAAAAUUGAAGUGCAUAUCUGGGCUCCCUUCCUUUCCGUAGCCCCGUUUCCCCUUGACUCAUAAUAAGCCCGUAGGGGGUCAUGCCCCUACUGUACGGUAUAUAUAAAAAUAACAUAUACCGAGGUUUGGAGGGCUCUGGCCGGAAAGGGGACGUG